ACGUAGGUGGCAAGCGUUGUCCGGAUUUAUUGGGCGUAAAGCGAGCGCAGGCGGUUUCUUAAGUCUGAUGUGAAAGCCCCCGGCUCAACCGGGGAGGGUCAUUGGAAACUGGGAGACUUGAGUGCAGAAGAGGAGAGUGGAAUUCCAUGUGUAGCGGUGAAAUGCGUAGAUAUAUGGAGGAACACCAGUGGCGAAGGCGGCUCUCUGGUCUGUAACUGACGCUGAGGCUCGAAAGCGUGGGGAGCAAACAGG
rnacentral:rRNA from 1 species